rnacentral:rRNA from 1 species
UACGAAGGGGGCUAGCGUUGUUCGGAAUUACUGGGCGUAAAGAGUGUGUAGGUGGUGCUCUAAGUUUGGUGUGAAAUCUCCUGGCUCAACCGGGAGGGUGCAUCGAAAACUGGAAUGCUCGAGGAUGGGAGAGGUAAGCGGAAUUCCUGGUGUAGCGGUGAAAUGCGUAGAUAUACUGGGAGGAACACCGGUGGCGAAGGCACAUCCUGGGACCGGUAUUGACGCUGAGGCGCGAAAGCCAGGGGAGCAAGCGGG